rnacentral:misc_RNA from 1 species
GUAAUGGCAUGUCGGAUCCCUGCUCGGGCAGCGACGGCAUCCCAUCCGCGUCUCUUCAGUUGUUGGCACGAGCAWGUACUCGUCCGACGUUAGUUUUCCUGUGCUGHAUACCUAUCACKAGGGCAUUCUAUAGGCUAACAUCAUUCCAUUCCCAUCYUGUGCUGCUACCCUCAAAGGUCUAGCGGCGCGGGGUGGGCCAAAUGGUGCACGUCGUGUCUCGCGCCCUAUUCGCCAGUUAAACGGCGUCCAGGUCGACGAACCACGACGGUYGCUCGGUYUYUYGAGUAUGGAAUAUCMWGUGGGUWCGGGGCCWYAGCCUYGGARCACCACAAAAAAAAGCGUUCUACGCUUCGUGCGAACGACCGUCAGUUCGGUCUUCGGCCGUGCCCCCGUGGCUCG